UGGCGACCGGCGCACGGGUGAGUAACACGUAUCCAACCUGCCGAUAACGUCGGGGAUAGCCUUUCGAAAGAAAAGAUUAAUAUCCGAUAGCAUAUCAAGAUCGCAUGAUCUUGAUAUUAAAAGAAUUUCGGUUAUCGAUGGGGAUGCGUUCCAUUAGUUAGUUGGCGGGGGUAACGGCCCACCAAGACGACGAUGGAUAGGGGGUUCUGAGAGGAAGGUCCCCCACAUUGGAACUGAGACACGGUCCAAACUCCUACGGAAGGCAGCAG
rnacentral:rRNA from 1 species